ACCUUCCACACCCGAUGAUCGGUUAUGGAAGAAACACCCGAACCCGGGGCCUGUGGUCUCUUCAGUCAAGGGUCCUGAGACCUGUCUCCCACUCGGUGUGAUAUGAGAGCGAUUGUCAUAUGGGAAAGAAGGCUCAAAUUUUUGUUUUCCUUUAAUAUUUUCUGCUCUGAUUAGCCUAAUCCUACAUCCUUUCUGUGUUUUUUUCCUAUUCAGAAUCUCGUGUGUCUCCUGUGUUCAACGGUAACUCCCACCCUCCUGAGGCGACCACAGAGGCCUAGAUAAAUUGGGAGGUCUUUUUCGGUGAAUGUGUUUCUGGGAUAUUUAUUCUUUUUGUUUUUGCAGCAGCCUCUUGUGGCCUCGUCUGCAGACUGUUUGUUCUAUUAUGAGUCUGUCAUUUCUUUUUGUUUUCAAAUUCAUACUCUUGCCCAGUUUCCAUUGGCUUUUCCUCUCCCCCUCUCACCUUGAGUGUUACUUGCAGAAGCCAUCAGCGAGGGAGUGCAUGAGGGCUGAAGACCUCAGGUUUUGACAGUGUUUUUCUUAAAAUAGCAUAAGAAUGGUGAGCCCUUGCUCCAUACUGACUUCUCCUGGCUUGGUUAACUCCUUUUUUCCUUCUUCUCUUGGAAUUGCUCCUGUUUCACUGAGACCGGUUCCUGUUGUCAUUCUUUGAAUGGUUUCCUGGCUCAAUCUGUGGGAUUCUCCUUUGUAUAAUGCCCAUUCAAUUCCUUGUAACUGAAAACUGAUCUAAGCCACCCCUCCAUCCUUACACCGUGGUGUUUGUGCAACUUUGAGUCUUCCUGGGUGUGGUAAUAUCACAGGCCAUCACUGUCUCUUCUGUGGUGGUAAAGGUGCCUUCCCCUCUGCCUCCAGUUGUACUCUUGGGCAGAAAAGCCUGACUCACAGAGAUGGUGCAUUUGUAGUAGGGAAUUGAGUCUAGAAGGGCAAGUGCCCGCCAUGAAAAUGCCUACUUCCCUGCAGGACCAAUUUGCACCACAGUCCUGGCAUCAUGUUCUCCAUCCCGCGGUGGGUCGGUUCUGCCCUGGAAGCUGUCACAGCUUCUUCUCUGUCUCAUCACACACCGUGGGAUUUUCCACAUGAGCUAAAAUCCCGUUGGUGUUUGCAGGAUUGAGACUUCCCACUUCCCUUUCCCAUAUGAAAAAUGUAGUGUGCUUUUCCUAGCGAACUUAAAAUCCAGACAUCCCUGCGAAUAAGGAUGAUUGUAGCGGAGACUGACUCCCUUCUGAGGACAGCCUUGUCCCCUCAGAAGCACUUUGCCAGCUCCCCCACAGGACUGCGGGAUGCCCAGCUCCUCAGAGCUCAUUGCACCCAGGGGAAGCUCCUGCUGGCAGAGGAGGGCCCUUUGUGAUCAGGGAGUAGAGAGGGUCUGGCAGGGUCCUGCAGAUAGAGCAAGUACCCAGGUGCGGCUCUGAUUCUAUGUGGAAAACCAGGCCUUCACUUCCUUUCUUUCUCUGUGUUUCUGGUUCAUGCAGACCAUGCUUCUGUGGAGCUGGGGAAGGUGUCAGGGUGGGUUGUCCUGCACAGAGAGGCUUCCUGUUUGGGAGGUCCUACUUUAUCAAUUUGCUGGAACCACUGUACAUCAUCUCAGGCAGGACUCUCGCCUUCCUCCACUUACAGACACCGGCGGUGUCAUGUGGCAACAGUGUUUUAUCCCCAAGGUCGAGUGUGUGGCCCUGUGCUGCUGUCUGGGCACCCGGUGGAGGGGAGGGUGCCCGGUGCUGACAGCUGCUGCAUUGGGUUUCAGGUUCUGUAGGUGUUGUUCCUUUUGUCUGUCAUCCAACACAGCUCUCUCUUCUGUUCUGCAGGUCACUGUGGAUUCCCGAUGUCCCGGUACUUGUGCAGGACCACUUGGUGUGCCUCACCCGAUGGGACACCCAGCGUCACUUCUCAGAGGCUAUUCAUCACCGCCACCCCCACCUCUGUUGUGGCCUAUGCAGUCUCACCCACCACCACCACCACCACCACCAGUUACAGCACUCGCACAGUCCAUUUGCCACAUGAAGGGGCCCCUCAGCUGUGGCAAUGAUGUGUUUAGAGAAGAUGUCAGAGGUGCAUUACGGCCCGAAUGUUUCCCUGCUCCAACCUGCCCACUCUGCUAUUCUCUCCUAUUGUCACCCCUAAUGAAAUUGUCACAGUUC